CCCUGUGUGGUGCAAAUGGUUAACACGCUUGGCUGCUAACCAAAAGGCUGUAGGUUCAAUUCCACCCAGAGAUG
rfam:Loxodonta africana unplaced genomic scaffold scaffold_6, whole genome shotgun sequence.